rnacentral:rRNA from 1 species
GACGAACGCUGGCGGCGUGCUUAACACAUGCAAGUGGAGCGACGAACCGGGGGCUUGCCCCGGGGCAGAGCCGCGAACGGGUGAGUAACACGUGGGUAACCCACCCGAUGACCGGGACACCCGAGGAAACUCGGGCUAAUACCGGAUGUGCUCCUUGACCUUGAGGUCAAGGCGUAAAGAUAGCUUCGGCCUUCGCAUCGGGACGGGCCCGCGGCCCAUUAGCUUGUUGGUGGGGUAAAGGCCUACCAAGGCGACGAGUGGGUAGGCUGGUCUGAGAGGACGAUCAGCCACACUGGGACUGAGACACGGCCCAGACUCCUACGGGAGGCAGCAGUGGGGAAUCUUGCGCAAUGCGCGAAA